AUUGUUGCAUGGAGCAUCAGUGUUCCAGUGUAUGUUUUCUUGGAGAUAAAUCUAUUGAGUUCAAGAGCACUUAUAAAUAAAUGCAUGUUGGUAUGCAGUCUUAAGUCUUUCAGGCUCCUGUGCAAACAUGUGAUCAUCAAGUGAUAUCAUGGGCUGAUUGGGUGGACCAGUUUGAUCACAGUUCUGGACCACGUGCACAUUGCGAACAUCUGCAUAAAGCCUUCCUUAGAUGUGACAGCAUAUAGAGGACUUACGCCUGAUUUGCUCCCUCGAUUUGUAUGUUGUCCUAAUGCAAGUUAACAAGAACAUCCACCGAAGCGUGAAUAUAUGCCAAGGACAUGCCGUUGGUAUUGGACGAACUUCUCACUGAAACUGGAAGACAACCACUGAGCAAAUGAUGUCCCACAUUUAAGUAAGAAGCCACUUCUUUGCACAAAUAUCCCGGCACCAAUUCAAAUGCUUUGCAGCUGAUUGGCAUUCCAUUUUCUCUUUGUUGUUUUACAAUGGAAAGUACACACUCAUCAAUCUCAUAACGUCGACCACAUUUAAGCCCUCGAAAUGUUUUUUGCAUGGAGAUGGGAUUCUGAAUUUUUUCUUCUUUGAUCUCCAAUGACGCACAUUCUUUUCAUCAGCACCAUAUUUCCUUCCUGUUUCUCUAUUGUUUGUCACUUCAGCAUAGUUAAUAACUGCCAUUUUGAAAUUUGUCACGUCUCAGCCCCCAACUGAUAGAUGUUUUCCCUUGACAUGGACACCCAUAUUUUUACUAUCUAAAAACACGUGCUACCUCACACGAUGAAUAACUCACCAGGCAACUAGUGCCACCUGUCAAGAAUGAUGGGUGAUUCUUUUACAAAAUCAACCGAAGUAUAUCAAAGUUCUGCAUGGUUCCUGAGUCCUCAUCUUACAUUACAGUUUCUCUACCUUUACUUUAGGCCACACUUAGGCUUAUAAAAGCCAGAUUUUGAGGGGGAAUGCAGCCUAUAUUUGGACUAAUACAACAACUUCGGGAGAAUAAUUUAGAGUAUUAAAUAUAUUUUCUUAAGUACAUUUCAGCUAUAGAUUCACAUGUAUGCUUGUGUUUGUGCGUACUGUAUGUAUAUUGCUCUGUUUUACUUUUGCACUGGCUUUAUUAGUUCCAUUUUUAAAAUGGACUUUAAAAUGGCAUUUUGAGUCACCUUGAGACACGCUAUAGCUGUAAUGAUUACUGUCAAAGUAUGGCUUGGUUGUGCCAGGUUCAAAUCCCCACUCAGCCAUGAAUUCACUAGGUGACUUUGGGCCAGUUGCCAUCUCUUAGCCUAUCUCCCCUCACAGGGUUGUUGUGGCCUGUUUCCCAUGAUGGUUGUGAAGGAGAACAAUGUACACUGCCCUGAGCUCCUUGGAGAAGGGCAGGAUAAAAACGUAAUUAAAUGCAUGCACAAGAUGAACAACAGUGGACAACAUACCAUAGGUUUUAUGAGUUCGAAAUGAAGGGCUUGCAUUUUUUUUCUCCUCUCAUAAUAAGGUUACCAGAUUUUUUUUCAGUGAAUCCAGGGACACUUUUCAACUUCCUGCUAAAUAGAUGGAUUUUGUCAGGGAACUGAUUUGUAAACCUGGGGACUGUCCCUGAGAAACAGGGACAUCUGGUAACCUUAUCUCAUAAACCAACUGAAACGAACAUGCAAGUCACUGCUCAUACAGUCAAGAAUCGUCACUUGUAGUGUGGAAGCUUUCAGAACCUCAGGUAUUACAUUAUUAUACUAUCAUGAAGCUUUCCCUAGUAAAAUGCUUUGAGGAUUAAGUGCAUUUCUGGGGAGUCUUCAAUCUUGUAGAUGCAGUAUGCCUUAUUCCUUGAAACAUAACAGCUUUGAUUACUUCCAGAAAGCUGCAGUUACCUGUAAUUUGAAGAGGGAAAAGAGUUUACUAUGGAUAACUACUAUAGCUUUUCUGUUUCCGAUAGCAUUGACCUAGUAGGGGACAGAUAACAGCUGUCUUGGGGUAGAACUAAUAUAUUCUGGGAUAAAAGCUGAAAAAAACCAUACUGUGUUCAUAGUCUUUUCUAAAAUGGAGCAGAUUAGACUAUUCACAAAUCAGCAACUCUGGGUUAGUCUCUUGAAUUGUUAAAAAACAACAACACAGCAGCACAACUUUGGGUGCAAUUUUCAUGAUUGCAUGUGCCAAAUUUCUGUGGAUUUUAUCUCCUCUGCAGUUCUGUUAGCUGAACUGUCAAGUUUACUUUUUAUGCUCAGGAGAUUAAAAGUAGUUUGAAGUUCAGUGCUGAAGGUUGCAAUCAUGAAAAUGGACAUUCAAAUGCACAUUGUAGAUUAUUUCCUCUUGUAGUGUUGCACCCCUUUAAGUCCAGAAUGUUUCUUUUUCACAAACUCAAAUGCCCGGUGUCUAGAUAUGUGGUGUCAUCUUAGUUGUGUUUUGUGCUGUAGAACUUUAAAAGUCUAAGCAGCCUUCCCCCCCU